rnacentral:rRNA from 1 species
GUCGAGCGGAACGAGUUAUCUGAACCUUCGGGGAACGAUAACGGCGUCGAGCGGCGGACGGGUGAGUAAUGCCUAGGAAAUUGCCCUGAUGUGGGGGAUAACCAUUGGAAACGAUGGCUAAUACCGCAUAAUACCUUCGGGUCAAAGAGGGGGACCUUCGGGCCUCUCGCGUCAGGAUAUGCCUAGGUGGGAUUAGCUAGUUGGUGAGGUAAUGGCUCACCAAGGCGACGAUCCCUAGCUGGUCUGAGAGGAUGAUCAGCCACACUGGAACUGAGACACGGUCCAGACUCCUACGGGAGGCAGCAGUGGGGAAUAUUGCACAAUGGGCGCAAGCGAGGAUGCAGCCAUGCCGCGUGUGUGAAGAAUGCCUUCGGGUUGUAAAGCACUUUCAGUCGUGAGGAAGGUAGUG